UAUUGCUACUCAAGUUUCACGCCUUAUUCAAGACGAUCUUCAGAAGAUAGAUAGAUUAUUGCCUGAAGAUCGUCUUGAAUAAGGCGUGAAACUUGAGUAGCA